rnacentral:rRNA from 1 species
GGUCUUUCGGGAUGCUGACGAGUGGCGAACGGGUGAGUAAUACAUCGGAACGUGCCUAGUAGUGGGGGAUAACUACUCGAAAGAGUGGCUAAUACCGCAUGAGAUCUAUGGAUGAAAGCAGGGGACCUUCGGGCCUUGUGCUACUAGAGCGGCCGAUGGCAGAUUAGGUAGUUGGUGGGAUAAAAGCUUACCAAGCCUACGAUCUGUAGCUGGUCUGAGAGGACGAUCAGCCACACUGGGACUGGGACACGGCCCAGACUCCUACGGGAGGCAGCAGUGGGGAAUUUUGGACAAUGGGCGCAAGCCUGAUCCAGCAAUGCCGCGUGCAGGAUGAAGGCCUUCGGGUUGUAAACUGCUUUUGUACGGAACGAAAAGUCUUGGGUUAAUACCCUGGGAUCAUGACGGUACCGUAAGAAUAAGCACCGGCUAACUACGUGCCAGCAGCCGCGGUAAUACGUAGGGUGCAAGCGUUAAUCGGAAUUACUGGGCGUAAAGCGUGCGCAGGCGGUUUUGUAAGACAGUGGUGAAAUCCCCGGGCUCAACCUGGGAACUGCCAUUGUGACUGCAAGGCUGGAGUGCUGCAGAGGGGGAUGGAAUUCCCCGUGUAGCAGUGAAAUGCGUAGAUAUGCGGAGGAACACCGAUGGCGAAGGCCAUCCCCUGGGCCUGCACUGACGCUCAUGCACGAAAAGCGGGGGGACCAAACAGGAUUUAGAUACCCUGGGUAGUCCACGCCCCUAAACGAUGU